rnacentral:rRNA from 1 species
CCUANGGGAGGCAGCAGUGGGGAAUUUUGGACAAUGGGGGCAACCCUGAUCCAGCCAUGCCGCGUGCGGGAAGAAGGCCUUCGGGUUGUAAACCGCUUUUGGUCGGGAAGAAAAGGUUAUCCCUAAUAAGGAUGACUCUUGACGGUACCGGCAGAAUAAGCACCGGCUAACUACGUGCCAGCAGCCGCGGUAAUACGUAGGGUGCGAGCGUUAAUCGGAAUUACUGGGCGUAAAGCGUGCGCAGGCGGUUUGUUAAGUCUGAUGUGAAAGCCCCGGGCUCAACCUGGGAAUGGCAUUGGAAACUGGCAAGCUUGAGUAUGGCAGAGGGGGGUGGAAUUCCGCGUGUAGCAGUGAAAUGCGUAGAGAUGCGGAGGAACACCGAUGGCGAAGGCAGCCCCCUGGGCCAAUACUGACGCUCAGGCACGAAAGCGUGGGGAGCAAACAGGAUUAGAUACCCUGNUANUC